UACUGUAAAAAUUCAUUAUUUCUCAAAAUUAGUAUUGAGACCUCCCUCUUUAAAAAAAAAAAUGACAGAUGCCUCCAACGUUGUCUUAAGUAGUUUUUGGCUUUGUAAUAAAGGUACUGAGACAUGGAUAAACGUGGAACUCCCUGUGAGCUUUGGAUGCUGACAGCUCUUGUGCUGGAUGAGCAGAAAUCGAAUUCCAAUCCAGUGUGAACACAUCUACAGAUAGCAUCAUGGAAAACAAGGUAUUACCUUGCUGCAGGCAUCACUGAGAUCUUGGUGGAAAAGGACCCUUCCUCCUCCCAAUCCAGGGCAGGCUUGUAACUUGAGGUCUACCAAUUGCCUGGGGUUCGUGGAUGGAGUUCAGAYGGUCUGAGAACUUGGAGGGGAAGAAGCUGUGUCUUUCUAGUGCUGCCAAGAUGUUAUUCCAGACUGUGGAAGGAGGGGUGGCACACAGAAGCUCUCUGUCCAGGGGAGACAGAUCUGUCCAGAGUGGUCACUUCUUGACAUCAACUAUAUASUGGGCACAUCCAGGUUCUUCAUAUAUUUUCUCUAAACCUUGCAACAAUGAGGUGGACAUUGCGGUUCUCAGCUUCUCCCCAGGGAAACUGAGGCUCAGGAAGGCGCCGACAAAACAGUCAAUACACCAGACACUGGAAAACCCGGGAGCAGAGUUCAUGUUUCCCUUCUCAAGGGUACUCCAGGCCACAUCUCCCCCAUACCCCAUAGGUAGUUGACUGGAUGAAAAGAGAUCAGCUGGCCCUGCCAGGAGUGGGCCAGCAAAUCCUCAAGAAAAGGCRAGUCAGGGACCAGCCUGAGACUCAGGCAAGUGCGGCUGCUCUACCYCAGCCAGGGCACCCCCUUCCCCUCUGCAGUUCCAGCCUGUGCCUACCAUGGGGUCCUGCCCAUGGGGACACAUGGAACUGCUGUACCCACCUUGCCCCAUGAGCAGAGAGGGCAAGGCCCUCAGUACUUGGGGAGGCUGGGGACCUCUGAGCAGAGUGGUCCUGCAGCAGGACCUCUGGAGCACUCAUCAGGACCUCUGGAGAGCUGACGUGAACCUAUGGAGAGCUCAUGUAGACCUCUGAAGAGCUUGUGUGGACCUCUGAAGAGCUUGUGUGGACCUCUGGAGUGCUCCUGUGGACCUCUGGAGUGCUCCUGUGGACCUCUGGAGAGCUCGUGUGGACCUAUGGAGAACUCAUCAGGACCUCUGGAGAGCUCGUGUGGACCUAUUGAGAGCUCGUGUGGACCUCUGGAGUGUUCGUCUGGGGAGAUACGAGUCUUGGAGUAUUUAACUCCAUUUUAGCUGCAUUUUAGGUGCCCUGUGGUGUGUGUGAGGAGGGAGGAGGGCCAUAUUGGGAAAGGUG